rnacentral:snoRNA from 1 species
CCCCUCUCAGGGUCGCACCUGGAGAGUUUCUAUUACUCUAUCAGUCUUGAUUAUGGGAGGGAGAGUCAAGCAGAGGCCUGUCCAUUCCAUUCCUAGCUUGGGCAGUGGCUAGUGAGUGGAAGGCGAUCGGCUACAAGU